rnacentral:rRNA from 1 species
UGGGGAAUAUUGCGCAAUGGGCGAAAGCCUGACGCAGCAACGCCGCGUGAGUGAUGAAGGCCUUCGGGUCGUAAAGCUCUGUCGGAGGGAACGAAUGCUCCUGAAGUUAACAGCCUCAGGAGGUGACGGUACCCUCAAAGGAAGCACCGGCUAACUCUGUGCCAGCAGCCGCGGUAAUACGUAGGGUGCAAGCGUUAAUCGGAAUUACUGGGCGUAAAGCGUGCGCAGGCGGUUGUGUAAGUCAGAUGUGAAAUCCCCGGGCUCAACCUCGGAACUGCCUUUGAUACUGUUAGUCUCGAGUCCGGAAGAGGUGAGUGGAAUUCCUAGUGUAGAGGUGAAAUUCGUAGAUAUUAGGAAGAACACCAGUGGCGAAGGCGGCUCACUGGUCCGGUACUGACGCUGAGGUGCGAAAGCGUGGGGAGCAAACAGGAUUAGAUACCCAGGUAGUCCCUGAGCGGGCUGGCAAGGCGCAU